GAUCAUGGCUCAGGAUGAACGCUAGCUACAGGCUUAACACAUGCAAGUCGAGGGGCAGCAUUUUUAUAGCAAUAUAAAAGAUGGCGACCGGCGCGCGGGUGAGUAACACGUAUCCAACCUGCCGAUAACUCGGGGAUAACCCUUCGAAAGAAGGCCUAAUACCCGAUGGCAUAUCCCUUCCGCCUGGUUGGGAUAUUAAAGAACUUCGGUUAUCGAUGGGGAUGCGUUCCAUUAGCUUGUUGGCGGGGUAACGG
rnacentral:rRNA from 1 species